rnacentral:lncRNA from 1 species
UCAGGAAAUCUAGAUGGGCGUGCAUAUCAUGUUUUAGUUUUAUGAUGUUUGGAACUGAGACAGUGAAUGUCAUUUGGGAAGACUUGAAGACUGAGGGUGAGUUGUUGGCUGAAGGGCUAGAAUUAUGUGAAGGCUAGUUACUCAUACGUCUGGUAGUUGAUGCUGGUUAAAGGCUGGGACCUUAGCUGGGACUGUCAGUCAGACCACCUAUACAUGGCUUUUCCCUAUGGCUGCUUGAGAUUCAUGGCUGGGCUCCAUGAGUGAAUUCUAAAGAGAAUCAGGAAGAAACUGUAACAUUUUUAAGAUUUAGCUCUGCAAGUCACAUAACAUCUCAUCUGCUCUAGUCACAGACCUGCUCAGAUGCAGGGAGAGGGAAUACAGACCCUCUCUUGAUGGAAGAAAUGUCAAAGCUAUUGAAGAACGUCAUGUGGAUGAGAGAUGCUGUUGUAACCAUCUUUGGAAAAUAUAAUCUGCCAUGAUCAGGAGCUACGGGAUUAUAAAGAACGAACACCUGAGGAUCCCAGAAAGGCAGUCAGAGGGAAACCAUCCCUGAUCUGAGUCUUAGAGGAUAAACUUGGCAAGAGCAAGAAAAGAGGACCAGCAACCAAUGGGAUGUAAAAGUCACUAAAGGCAGAGUUUCAAGAUGACAAAUGUGCUCACGACUUAGACCUGAGUGACCAGAUCCAGGGACAGAAGUUUACUGUUUGCUUUAUUCAUGGAUUCUUCUUACUGCUUCUUUUCACAGUGAGUUUUUCUGCUUCCCUUGCCACUGUGUCUGUUUUCCUGUCUGUAUGUUUCACAUUCAGACUUCCUAAGAGAGGAACUCUGUUUGGGCGUGCAGCAUCCGGGAUGGAAUGGCACCACGAGCCGAGCUUUGAUUCUGGGCCCC